CAGGUAGUUGGCGGGGUAACGGCCCACCAAGCCUACGAUCAGUAACUGGUGUGAGAGCACGACCAGUCACACGGGCACUGAGACACGGGCCCGACUCCUACGGGAGGCAGCAGUAAGGAAUAUUGGUCAAUGGACGCAAGUCUGAACCAGCCAUGCCGCGUGGAGGAUGAAGGUCCUCUGGAUUGUAAACUUCUUUUAUCUGGGAAGAAAUCCAUAAAUUCUUUUAUGGUUGACGGUACCAGGUGAAUAAGCACCGGCUAACUCCGUGCCAGCAGCCUAAUACGGAGGGUGCAAGCGUUAUCCGGAUUCACUGGGUUUAAAGGGUGCGUAGGCGGAUUGGUAAGUCCGUGGUGAAAUCUCCGAGCUUAACUCGGAAACUGCCAUGGAUACUAUCAGUCCUGAAUAUCUUGGAGGUAAGCGGAAUAUGUCAUGUAGCGGUGAAAUGCUUAGAUAUGACAUAGAACACCCAUUGCCAAGGCAGCUUACUACG
rnacentral:rRNA from 1 species